CUCCCCGUUUUGGGGUCGGAGGGA
rnacentral:rRNA from 1 species